CCAGCAGCAUCCACAGGCUGGGUGAAUCACAGGAUUGCUUCCUGGUUGGCCAGUCUCACUUUGAAUGUUGUGUGAGGAUAAAAGCUAGCGACAGCACAAUGAACCUCAUGAUUCAGUCCUCUGACACAGGAUGGAGCUGGUGGCUGGGGACGAAGUUGUCCCGUGAACCUGGAUGCUGGAUCUGAUGUGGUAACCAUUUGAGAGCCACUGUACUCUCAGCUGAUGACAUUGCUUCCUAUUUCUCUGGAAAAACAGAAGUCCUGGGAAGAAAGCUUCCUAAGGCUCCCAUCAUUUCACUGUAUGCUCCGCCUUCCUCAGAGGGACUCUCCCUGCUCUGGCCCAAGGUCAACCCUCCACCAGAGCACUUGACCCCAUACCUCUCAUGUCCUUCAGGACUUCACACUCUUCUCUCUUUCUUCUGCAUCAUCAAUUUUCUCUCUCUCCUGAAUUAUUCAGGCCAGCUUACACACAUGGUAUAACAGCUCCUAGCCUAAAAAAAUAAAAUCCUCCAUGAUUGAACCCUCGCCUCUAGUGUCUGCACCACUUCUCUGCUCCUUUAAACAUUUAUUUAUUUGAGAGAGAGAGGGAGAGAGAGAGAGAGAGAGAGAGAGAGAGAGAGAGAGAGAGAGAGAGAGAGAGAGAGAGAGGAAGAAGGAGGAGGAGGAGAGAGAAAGAGAAAUCAAUUUGUUGGUCUACUUACAUAUGCAUUCAUUGGAUGAUUCUUGUAUGUGCUCUGACUGGGAAUCAAACCUGCGACCUUGUUGUAUAAGGACAACACUAACCAACUGAGCUACCCAGCCAGGACUUCUCUGAUGCUUUUAUAGCAAAAUUCUUUGAAGAAGUGAUCACCACUUCCUCUAUUGCUCCAGUCAGGCAUUCGUCCUCACAUUAUUGAAACUGCUCUUACCCAAGUCACCAGUGACCUCUACCUGGCCAAUUUCAAGGUCAGUUCUCAAUCUGUAUCUCAGUUGCCCUAUCACCAGUAUUUGACAUAACUGACCAAGCUCUUGACCUUGAAAUACUUUCUUCUCUGGUCUCCAGGACACUCUCUCACGUCUGUCUCCCACCAUGCCUCGGUCUCCUUUUCUGCUCCCCCUCAGCCCCUCUCUCCCUCCUGCUGUGCUCUAGAAGUCAGCCCUCAGCCUUCUCUCUGUUCACCUAGAGAACUGGCUUCGAAAAUCAUCCACAUUUUGCUGCUGCCCAAAUUUUUUAUUUCUAGCCUUAAUCUCCCCCUGCAUUAUGGCCAAAUUUAUGCUAUUGCCUACUUAGGAUGCUGCCUGGAUAUCUCUCAGGCAUCUCACAUCUAACAUGAGAUCCUGGUGACCCUCCCAAACCUCUCCUUUCUGGAGUCUUUCCACUUGAGUAAAGGACAUCUCUAUCCUACUAGCUGCUCAGGACAAAACUUUGGAGUUCUUGGUGGUCCCUUCCUUUUUCUCAAACCCAGCAUCCAGUCCGCAAAUCACCUAGCCUUCACCUUCAAAAAAUAUCGAGGACCUGAGCACUUCUCCCCAUUUCUACCAGAGCACCCUGAGACCACAGUCUCUCUCCUGGACGAUAGUAACAGCUUCCUAACUGGCCUCCCUGCUUCUACCCUGGCUUCCUCUAGUCCAUUCUUUACACAGACGCCAAAGAAUAUUCCCCCAGUCCUCUGCUUAGAUCAUCAGUGGUUUCCCAUCUCGUGGAGGGAAGGACCUGAUGAGGCCCCCCAUGAGCUGACAGCCCCCCCAGUUAUUCUUCACAUGUCUCCCCACUUACUGUGCUCCAUCCAGCUGGGCUCCUGAUGUUGCUUGAACAAGCCAGCCUGCUCCUGCCUAUCAGGGCUGUUUCCACUUUCUGGAAUGCUCUUCCCCUAGAUGAGCAUGUUUGCAGUCUCCCUCUUAUUCAGAUCUCAGCUCAAACAUCCCCUCUUCGGGGAGUCCUCCCUUUUUCUGACGAAUGGAAAGUAGCAGCCCCCUCCACAGCUCCCUAUCACCCGAAGCUAUUGGAUUUAUGCAUAGCCCUCACCAGGAUCUGAAAUGAUCUUAUUUAUUUGUUGUGUAUUGUCUGUCUUCCCCUCCAGAAUGAAAGCUGUAUGGUGGCGGGAAUUCUGUUCCCAGCAGCUAGCACAGUGCCUACCACAAGUUACCAGGGCUGCCAUGGGAGGUGGUAAAGAUUGCUCCCUGCACCAGAGCUCUGGCUGAGGGGCCAGUGGUGCUGAGAUCCAGCUUGAUCUCUGCUCGCCGUGCUGUGGGGGACCCAACAGGUUGUCCUCUGCUGUAUUCCAAUGUGUGUCUAUGGGCUGGCUGUGGCUCUGUGAUGGGUGAUCAAUAAAAACUCAUAAAAUAAA